GACGAACGCUGGCGGCGUGCUUAACACAUGCAAGUCGAACGGAAAGGCCCUGCUUUUGUGGGGUGCUCGAGUGGCGAACGGGUGAGUAACACGUGAGUAACCUGCCCUUGACUUUGGGAUAACUUCAGGAAACUGGGGCUAAUACCGGAUAGGAGCUCCUGCUGCAUGGUGGGGGUUGGAAAGUUUCGGCGGUUGGGGAUGGACGCGCGGCUUAUCAGCUUGUUGGUGGGGUAGUGGCUUACCAAGGCUUUGACGGGUAGCCGGCCUGAGAGGGUGGCCGGCCACAUUGGGACUGAGAUACGGCCCAGACUCCUACGGGAGGCAGCAGUGGGGAAUAUUGCACAACGGGCGGAAGCCUGAUGCAGAAACGCCGCGUGCGGGAUGACGGCCUUCGGGUUGUAAACCGCUUUCGCCUGUGACGAAGCGUGAGUGACGGUAAUGGGUAAAGAAGCACCGGCUAACUACGUG
rnacentral:rRNA from 1 species